UGCCGAGUAGUUCAAGGGUAGAACGCUACGCUGUUAACGUAGAUGUUGCAGGUUCAAGUCCUGCCUCGGCAGCCA
rnacentral:tRNA from 1 species